GACGAACGCUGGCGGCGUGCUUAACACAUGCAAGUCGAACGGAAAGGCCCUGCUUGCCGGGUACUCGAGUGGCGAACGGGUGAGUAACACGUGGGUGAUCUGCCCUGCACUUCGGGAUAAGCCUGGGAAACUGGGUCUAAUACCGGAUAGGAGCCAUUUUUAGUGUGAUGGUUGGAAAGUUUUUUCGGUGUAGGAUGAGCUCGCGGCCUAUCAGCUUGUUGGUGGGGUAAUGGCCUACCAAGGCGGCGACGGGUAGCCGGCCUGAGAGGGUGGACGGCCACAUUGGGACUGAGAUACGGCCCAGACUCCUACGGGAGGCAGCAGUGGGGAAUAUUGCACAAUGGGCGCAAGCCUGAUGCAGCGACGCCGCGUGGGGGAUGACGGCCUUCGGGUUGGAAACUCCUUUCGCUAGGGACGAAGCUUUUUGCGACGGUACCUAGAUAAGAAGCACCGGCUAACUACGUG
rnacentral:rRNA from 1 species